GCCACUGACCGCUCGGCGAGCCAGCGGGAGAGGAUUAGGGCUCCCGAGGCAACUUGCUCGGGGCUCAGGCCGUUCUCCCCCGAAGCUCGGGCUGCCGGGCUGUUCUGGCUCUGGCCUCCCUCUCCUCCUCUUCCUCUUCCUUCUGUCCCCUCCCGCGUUCCUUCCCGGCCGCGCCGCCUGCGCCCUCGCCUCCUGUGGCGCUGCUCCUCCGCCCUGCGCUCCUGGGGUCCCCGCAGUCCGGCUGGCCGCGUUGCGCGCGGGGCUCACUUUCUGCCGCCGGUGGCGAGUGGCUGAACUCCUAAGUGACCAGGAACAGACGAUUUUUAACCGAGUUCUGCUGCGUGGAGCCCAGGUUGGCGCUAGUGAGUGCAGUGUGCUGACCCAAGUGGUGGUGGCCCAAGGACGCGCUGACCCGUACAUUUGGCAAAGCUUUCAUUAAAUGUAUCAGAUUCUCGCGGAAGUGGUUGCAGUCCGGAGAGUGAAACAGCUAUCUCUCAAGUCCUGACCGGUUCAGCUGAAAUCUACAUUUGCACUGAAUCUGGCAAAACACGGACGGGUCCGCCCGAGAUCUCAGGAAACCCAGAGCAAGUUACCUCCAUGUAGUUGAUCAUUCUUUCUGAAAGGACGGACACCAUUUACCCCACUGCAAUCCUGUCCAACGGGCAGCUCUGAGUUUAGCUUUAGCGCCAAAGGAUUGAUUUCCCCCACCCGCUGGAGAUUUACUGGGGACGAGCGGGGGAGGGGAGGCGAAGGUACCUCGGAGGAGGUCAAGUGGGGGAGGAGGAGGAGCAGCAGAAAAUUACCAGCCAAGCAGGGGAGGGAGUUGGAAGCCCGGAAAUAUACCAGGAUGCCUCAAGUAACCUUCCUUUAAGUCUCAGAAUUCAGCCCUCGGAAAACAGCCUCAUAAGGUGUCCUGGGAAGGAGUCCUCGGGUGGGCUGCGGAGGUGAUGUCAAGAGUUACAGCUACUUUAUGAAUUAAACUGACGGCUAAGGCAUGUCGGGACAGUUUAGUGUAAGCUGAAUGGUGCGUGGACGGGGCAACUUUUAAAGAGAGGUGGGCAAUCAUUGGUGGCAUCUACCAGUAUAUUCUGCAUGUAACAGUAGUUUGGAAGCUGAAGAAAAACCCCUCAAAUCCCAGUAAAUGCCCGGUCAGUUCGAGAGAGAUUUUAGGGACAAUUUUGAAGGUCGCUGUCUGCUCCAACUCCGCAGAGAUGAACAAGAGUGUGAACUCUGGCGCGGGUGUGUUUAGAAUUAUCUACGACUUCAGAUCCAUGCUGUUGAAACUCAUCAAUUCUUUGUGACUUCACGUGGAGAGAAGAAUUUGCCCUGCCUCCCUACCUGCUAAAUGCCGACUGAGAAAAGGGGCCCAGGAGACGACCCCUUUCAGAAAGAACGUCACUUCAUCAACUCGGCUGAGUUAUUAACUUGCUCCCCGAAAGGUCAACAACGCCUUCUCUUCUCAGCCGCACCGCGCGGAGAUCAAUCGCUUUACCCUAGGUAGCCUCUUGUUCAGGGCUCAGGAACUCCUGUCUUAAGGUCCUUCUGGGGCUCAGAAGCUGUGUUGUGUAUGUUCUUUCCAAGAAUCCCACCUGUCUGCUUUCAAGCACACACGGCGCUAGAAAUUUAGCCUAGCCUGAGUCCUGGGAUGAGAGAAGAGCUAAACAAAGAGACCCCAACCGUCCCCUUGGCCCCCUGCCCCGCCGUUUUGCAGUUUGCCAACCUUCUAGCUAGACAGCCCCCUAAGUCUCCGUGUUGCGAGUGAAAGAGAAUUUUUCUAUUUCAUCUUCCCAUUGACCGAAGCAGAAAAAUUGAACCGAAUCUACGCCCCUUGUUCUGAUUCCUGCUAGAGGAAAACAGAAAAUCAUCCCGCAGGUCUCUUUCAGUCCCUGGAUGGCGAGCGCAGCCCCUGGGAGGCCACACUUAGUUCUUUAUUGUGAAUCUCUCGCUACUCAAGUUCGUUCGGGACCAGGGCCUCGGAUGGCCUCGGUUGCCCGUAAGUACGCGAAAGAAGAGGUGAAUCCAAUCGCUGGCCUAGAGGAUAGUGAUCAGACAACCCGAGGAUUACUAAACAAGGGGCGGCGGUGUCCCUGUCUCAUGGGGUUGGCGUGGGGCGGGGGGUAGGCAGCAAGAUCCUCCAGGCUCCUGGAUGCAAAGAGUGAGAAAGAAAGCGCAGCCUCUGGCAGCCUGCUUAUAAAUGCAGCCUUUCGGAAGAUGAAACUUGCAGUCUUAGGUUGUCCUCCUUUAUAUCCAUGUUCCAAUCCUCUGGGCUUUCCUCGAAAUGAAUAAAAUUGUGGAAAUGA
rnacentral:lncRNA from 1 species